rnacentral:misc_RNA from 1 species
GUGAAUCAUCAAAUUUUUGAACGCAAAUUGCACUCUCUUCGGAGAGUAUGCCUGUUUGAGGGUCAGUAUUAAUAAAAAUCGGUGUGUUGCUUCUUUGUGACGCUCCGGAGUUUGGGUCAUCUUAAUAUCCUUUAGGUUUUAAGGGGCUUAAAUUGACCUUUUUUUGCGCUUUUUAGCCGUACAUAAUUUUUUUUUUUUUCUUCUAUUCUUAAUGCAAAAUUCCUAUUGAAUCCAACA